UUCCUACGGGGGGCAGCAGUGAGGAAUAUUGGUCAAUGGGCGGCAGCCUGAACCAGCCAUCCCGCGUGAAGGAAGAAUGCGCUAUGCGUUGUAAACUUCUUUUUCAGGGGGAUAAAAUUUUGUAUGUAUACAGAACUGAAGGUACCCUGAGAAUAAGCAUCGGCUAACUCCGUGCCAGCAGCCGCGGUAAUACGGAGGAUGCGAGCGUUAUCCGGAUUUAUUGGGUUUAAAGGGUGCGUAGGCGGAAUAAUAAGUCAGUGGUGAAACCCUGCAGCUUAACUGUAGACUUGCCAUUGAUACUGUUUUUCUUGAGUAUGGUCAAGGCAGGCGGAAUGUGUAAUGUAGCGGUGAAAUGCUUAGAUAUUACACAGAACACCGAUAGCGAAGGCAGCUUGCUGGGCCGUUACUGACGCUGAUGCACGAAAGCGUGGGGAUCGAACAGGAUUAGAUACCCUGGUAGUCGAA
rnacentral:rRNA from 1 species